CCUACGGGAGGCAGCAGUGGGGAAUAUUGGGCAAUGGGCGCAAGCCUGACCCAGCAACGCCGCGUGAAGGAAGAAGGCUUUCGGGUUGUAAACUUCUUUUCUCAGGGACGAAACAAGUGACGGUACCUGAGGAAUAAGCCACGGCUAACUACGUGCCAGCAGCCGCUGUAAUACGUCGGUGGCAAGCGUUAUGCGGAUUUACUGGGUGUAAAGGGCGGGUAGGCGGGAAAGCAAGUCAGAUGUGAAAACCAUGGGCUCAACCUGUGGCCUGCAUUUGAAACUGUUUUUCUUGAGUACUGGAGAGGCAGACGGAAUGCGUAGUGUAGCGGUGAAAUGCGUAGAUAUUAGGAGGAACACCAGUGGCGAAGGCGGUCUGCUGGACAGCAACUGACGCUGAGGCGCGAAAGCGUGGGGAGCAAACAGGAUUAGAUACCCCUGUAGUC
rnacentral:rRNA from 1 species